CACUUUUUAUUUGAAAUAUGGUGAAUAAAUGCAUUAAUUAUCAUAUACAGAAAUAAAGUUAUAGUUUGUAUAAUACCUGAUUUGGUAAGGUUUGUUUGGUUUUAGUUCUCGAUGCCUCAGAUGAAUUGAUGUUCUCCAUUCAUUAUUUUAUAUGUUCACAUUUUUAGGGCUUCUCAUAAUGUCUGAAUGAUAUAUAAGCUUUCUUUUCUUAACAUGCACAAAUCUGUUCUUAGAAAACAUGUCACUUUCAUAAAGCGUCAAAACAUACACAUUGAUCUGUCUUGCCU